UUCAAAAUUGAUCAAUUCACCCGUAAUGCGGGAGAGUUAGCAUGUGUUUCUUUUAUCAUCCUGUUAUGCACAUCAUGUUCUCUGAGGGAGACACGGAUGCUUCCUCAUAUUAAGUCAUAAGUGAAAGUAAGCACAAGAAAGUUCUUUCACACUACAUUUUCUUUCACAACUGAGGAUCAGCUUCUUCCUAGGAAGAUUAUCAUGUAUAAGAAAUAUUCUUAUGUUUUACUCGUCUUCCGUGCUCAUUAGCGCCUCAUGUCAUUCAGACACUGUUCCCGAUGACGUAGAAUAAUUAUGUCUUGGCAAAGGCUUACUGCUUCCUGCGUGAUGAAUAAAAAAUAUACGGCAUACAGCUUGUAGUUCUGACGUUAUGUAAAACUGGAAUAUCCAAAGUUUCUUACAAAUUAUGAUCAUUACAAGACGCUAAAGUUACCGAAAAUAGUGGCCUCUUGAAACCAGCCCAGUAAGCCACACACAAGCCACAGCAUAUAUAAAGAGUACCUACAGCUGUAUUCCUGCAUCUGCUGUCAUUCUCCUUUCGCCAUGAAGCUGGUGUCACUGGUGAUGGUUGUGGUGGUGGCAGUGGUGGCUCUCGCGCAGGUCGCAUCAACCAUGCCCAGUCCGCAUCCAGUGCCUGAUCCAUUCUUCUUUUACAAAAGCUAUUUUUAUCCUCCUUUUUAUUAUCGCUACAGAAAUAUUGUAUUUGGUUAAGAAAAUAAUUAAUCGCUGUUCAGGGAUGAAAAAUACCACCAUUAAGUUAGAACACUAAGGAUAAGCGAAUACUUUAAUUAAUAGAUAAUAAUAAAAAUGAGAAAUACCUAAAA